rfam:Clostridium sp. CAG:1000 genomic scaffold, scf16
CUUUCUCUACAACCGCAUUGAAGAGGUUUAAUAAAAAGAAUAUUCUUACCUCAAGAGCGAGUCUUAUUGAAGGA